GACGCAGCUAGCUGCGUGAUUUAGUGUGAAUUGCAGGACACAUUGAGCACUGUGUGGAAUUUACGCGAAUUGCGGCCUCGGGUUAAUCCCGGGACCGCGCCCGCCUCAGGGUCG
rnacentral:rRNA from 1 species